rnacentral:lncRNA from 1 species
UAGAAGUCAGGUCGGAUUAAGCCAUAGUACGGAAAAAACUAUGCUACCUGUGAGCCCCGUCCAAGGACGUUAAAAGAAGUCAGGCCAUUAUAAAUGCCAUAGCUUGAGUAAACUAUGCUGCCUGUAGCUCCACCUGAGAAGGUGUAAAAAAUCUGGGAGGCCACAAACCAUGGAAGCUGUACGCAUGG